UACGAAGGGGGCUAGCGUUGUUCGGAUUUACUGGGCGUAAAGCGCAUGUAGGCGGGUCGUUAAGUUAGGGGUGAAAUCCCAAGGCUCAACCUUGGAACUGCCUCUAAAACUGGCGACCUGGAGCAAGAUAGAGGCGAGUGGAAUUCCGAGUGUAGAGGUGAAAUUCGUAGAUAUUCGGAGGAACACCAGUGGCGAAGGCGACUCGCUGGAUCUUUGCUGACGCUGAGAUGCGAAAGCGUGGGGAGCAAACAGG
rnacentral:rRNA from 1 species